rnacentral:piRNA from 1 species
UGAUACCAAACUCAUCGGAAACAUGGC